rnacentral:tRNA from 1 species
GGGCUUGUGGUUUAGUGGUAUAAUACUCGCUUAGCAUUCCUUCUAGGAUCUACGCAUGUGAGUGGUCCAGGGUUCGAUUCCCUGCAAGUCCA